AGAGUUUGAUCCUGGCUCAGGAUGAACGCUAGCGGCAGGCUUAACACAUGCAAGUCGAGGGGCAGCAUAAUGGAUAGCAAUAUCUAUGGUGGCGACCGGCGCACGGGUGCGUAACGCGUAUGCAACCUACCUUUAACAGGGGGAUAACACUGAGAAAUUGGUACUAAUACCCCAUAAUAUCAUAGAAGGCAUCUUUUAUGGUUGAAAAUUCCGAUGGUUAGAGAUGGGCAUGCGUUGUAUUAGCUAGUUGGUGGGGUAACGGCUCACCAAGGCGACGAUACAUAGGGGGACUGAGAGGUUAACCCCCCACACUGGUACUGAGACACGGACCAGACUCCUACGGGAGGCAGCAGUGAGGAAUAUUGGUCAAUGGACGCAAGUCUGAACCAGCCAUGCCGCGUGCAGGAUGACGGCUCUAUGAGUUGUAAACUGCUUUUGUACGAGGGUAAACGCAGAUACGUGUAUCUGUCUGAAAGUAUCGUACGAAUAAGGAUCGGCUAACUCCGUGCCAGCAGCCGCGGUAAUACGGAGGAUUCAAGCGUUAUCCGGAUUUAUUGGGUUUAAAGGGUGCGUAGGCGGUUUGAUAAGUUAGAGGUGAAAUUUCGGGGCUCAACCCUGAACGUGCCUCUAAUACUGUUGAGCUAGAGAGUAGUUGCGGUAGGCGGAAUGUAUGGUGUAGCGGUGAAAUGCUUAGAGAUCAUACAGAACACCGAUUGCGAAGGCAGCUUACCAAACUAUAUCUGACGUUGAGGCACGAAAGCGUGGGGAGCAAACAGGAUUAGAUACCCUGGUAGUCCACGCAGUAAACGAUGAUAACUCGUUGUCGGCGAUACACAGUCGGUGACUAAGCGAAAGCGAUAAGUUAUCCACCUGGGGAGUACGUUCGCAAGAAUGAAACUCAAAGGAAUUGACGGGGGCCCGCACAAGCGG
rnacentral:rRNA from 2 species